AAUGGGGGAAACCCUGAUGCAGCGACGCCGCGUGGAGGAAGAAGGUCUUCGGAUUGUAAACUCCUGUCCCAGGGGACGAUAAUGACGGUACCCUGGGAGGAAGCACCGGCUAACUACGUGCCAGCAGCCGCGGUAAAACGUAGGGUGCAAGCGUUGUCCGGAAUUACUGGGUGUAAAGGGAGCGCAGGCGGAUUGGUAAGUUGGGAGUGAAAACUAUGGGCUCAACCCAUAAAUUGCUUUCAAAACUACCAGUCUUGAGUGGUGUAGAGGUAGGCGGAAUUCCCGGUGUAGCGGUGGAAUGCGUAGAUAUCGGGAGGAACACCAGUGGCGAAGGCGGCCUACUGGGCACUAACUGACGCUGAGGCUCGAAAGCAUGGGUAGCAAA
rnacentral:rRNA from 1 species